rnacentral:lncRNA from 1 species
UCAAGUCCAAAGGCAGGGUUUGGAGAUUGUAAUAGAGUCAUUAUAAUUGAUAAUGUGUGGUUUUGGCCUACUCUGGUAUAUUAAGCUCCGCAAUAAGUCCCACGUCACUGCUUCUAUUGUUUUGUUUAACCUUGAACAUAACUUGCAGAUAGAUUGGCCAAGGGCCAAACACUCUUGUCCCAAGUGCUGUAUUAGUCUUACCCUUCUUAAUAUCCUGCUGAUGCUCUCUAAUUUGAAUGCAAAGAUUGCAUCUAGUCCAUCCAAUGUACAUCUCAUCCCUAUUUAGGUUGUUAUUUUUAACAGGAAUCUGAUAGAUGCCAGAUCUCAAAUUAGGGUGAAUGGAUGGCUUGUUGUUCUUCGUGUAUUAGAAAAUUGUGUUAAUUCUUUUAAACAUGAUUCUCCAUUCACCAAUCUUCUCCACCAAACUAAGUUCUUUUUCGUUGUUGUACAAUACAGUAGGGUUGCACUCGCUAUCUCACUUCCCUUGCUGGCUGCACUUCACUGUAUGGCAAUAAAGUUUGCUUUCUUUCUUCAUUGCAUAGCACUCUCAACAGGUUUCUGGCUUGAUAGCUGUGCUCAAUGCAUUGUCUUGCAAUAUUCAUCAUCUCCUCAUCCUUUUCCUCUUUCAUUGAGUAAUGAGUCAAGGCUCUCCUAAAGAGUGCAUGAAAAGCUGUCAGCUUGUACUGUUUUAGAUCGUACAACGCCUUAUAUAAAUUGCCCUGAAAUGAAUAACUAAAAUUGAAAUAGACCAAUUAACAUUGGUCGAAAGUGUUUCUUUUGUAAAAUGAAAGAUUUUUUUCUGCUUAGUGCUGUAUUGCUCUUUUAUUUUUUUUUAUAAGUAGCAAAAUAUCUACAACCAUA